AAUUUAUUAUUAAUGUAUUUAAUAGUAAUGUAUUUCUAUUAAAAUGGUCAUUCUCUAAUAGCUACCCCCACUUUUAAUCAUCUCAUAACUUUCUUAUUACAAUGCAUAAUAAUAUACCGACUCCCUUGCUCAUCCUUGCUUUGGACUUGGUGGUGG